rnacentral:rRNA from 1 species
GGCCUACGGGGGGCAGCAGUGGGGAAUAUUGCACAAUGGGGGAAACCCUGAUGCAGCGACGCCGCGUGAGCGAAGAAGUAUUUCGGUAUGUAAAGCUCUAUCAGCAGGGAAGAAAAUGACGGUACCUGAGUAAGAAGCUCCGGCUAAAUACGUGCCAGCAGCCGCGGUAAUACGUAUGGAGCAAGCGUUAUCCGGAUUUACUGGGUGUAAAGGGAGCGCAGGCGGCGCGGCAAGUCAGAUGUGAAAGCCCGGGGCUCAACCCCGGGACUGCAUUUGAAACUGCCGGGCUAGAGUAUCGGAGAGGG